CCUACGGGUGGCAGCAGUCGAGAAUCAUUCACAAUGGGGGAAACCCUGAUGGUGCGACGCCGCGUGGGGGAAUGAAGGUCUUCGGUUUGUAAACCCCUGUCAUGUGGGAGCAAAUUAAAAAGAUAGUACCACAAGAGGAAGAGCCGGCUAACUCUGUGCCAGCAGCCGCGGUAAUACAGAGGUCUCAAGCGUUGUUCGGAAUCACUGGGCUUAAAGCGUGCGUAGGCUGUUUCGUAGGUCUUGUGUGCAAGGUGCGGGCUGAACCGGCGUACGGCACAUGAUACUGCGAGACUAGAGUAAAGGAGGGGGAACCGGAAUUCGCGGUGUAGCAGUGAAAUGCGGAGAUA
rnacentral:rRNA from 1 species